rnacentral:rRNA from 1 species
GUCCACACCCUAAACGAUGAGCACUAGGUGUGGGUGGGAAUGCCAUCCGUGCCGUAGCCAACGCGUUAAGUGCUCCGCCUGGGGACUAUGAGCGCAAGCUUAAAACUCAAAGGAAUUGACGGGGGCCCGCACAAGCAGCGGAGCGUGCGGUUCAAUUCGAUGCGACACGAAGAACCUUACCAGGGUUUGACAUGGGCGUGGUAGCGAACCGAAAGGGGAGCGACCCGCAAGGGAGCGCCGACAGGUGAUGCAUGGCUGUCGU